rnacentral:rRNA from 1 species
UACGUAGGGGGCGUAGCGUUGUCCGGAAUCAUUGGGCGUAAAGCGCGUGUAGGCGGUCCGGUAAGUCCGCUGUGAAAGUCGAGGGCUCAACCCUCGAAUGCCGGUGGAUACUGUCGGGCUUGAGUACGGGAGAGGCGAGUGGAAUUCCCGGUGUAGCGGUGAAAUGCGCAGAUAUCGGGAGGAACACCAGUAGCGAAGGCGGCUCGCUGGGCCGUUCCGUGACGCUGAGACGCGAAAGCUAGGGGAGCGAACAGG